rnacentral:rRNA from 1 species
UACGGAGGGAGCUAGCGUUAUUCGGAAUUACUGGGCGUAAAGCGCACGUAGGCGGCUUUGUAAGUUAGAGGUGAAAGCCUGGAGCUCAACUCCAGAACUGCCUUUAAGACUGCAUCGCUUGAAUCCAGGAGAGGUGAGUGGAAUUCCGAGUGUAGAGGUGAAAUUCGUAGAUAUUCGGAAGAACACCAGUGGCGAAGGCGACUUACUGGACACAUAUUGACGCUGAGGUGCGAAAGCGUGGGGGAGCAAACAGG